CAAAGAUAUAAUGACCAUGAAGAACACUGGAAAUACAGUGCCAUAAGUCCAAAGGAAACUACAAAAGAGAUUUCCAAGAUUAUUUCUAAGCAACAAGGGCCCUGCCUCUCAAGGUGACUAUUUUGACAAAGAUUGGGGAAGGGAAGUAUGCUAACAUUUACAUAGCUUUUCUGAGAGGCACUUUAUCAUAGUGUUUGUGUAUAUGAACCUGGGAGCCAGAAUGGCUUGGAUGGAAUGGUGGAUCUCCAACUUAACAGUUGAGUGUACGCUAUGCUUAUUCUUAGAGGGAUUAAUUACCUGGCAUGAAGUUCAAACAAACGCAGGUAGCCAUUAUUAUCGACAUUUUGCAAGUGAGAAAACAGCCUUGGAGAAGGGUUCACAACCUUUGAAAGGCAGUUUGCCAAGGUCCUGAAAAUCACCAUCUGGAGGUUGAUGGCAAAAUGCUGACUCCUGUCAUGAAGUAGCAAGAUGGAAGAGCACUGACCUUGGAUAAUUCCCAAAGGAAAUUGCUGAUGAAGGAGGAUUAUGCCAUGAGAUCAAGAUGGAAGAAUCUUGAAACAAAAACUGAGGAUGAUAGACAUGUUAUUGGAGAUGAAGAUGAGAUAAAGACAACAGGAUACCCCAAACCUUGAUCCCUGGAUGGCUGCAAGGAUUUUGAGACCACUUUGAAGCUGUGUACAGAAGACUUUUCCACAGGCAUACACAACACCCUGCCUUCAUACCCUGAAGGAAUGAAAGCUGUUGACAUUACUUGGAAGAAAAUAAAGAACUUGAAUCUGUUUUUGUGCUAUACAGAAAAAGGAAGAUGGCCGAAUAGGAACAGCUCCAGUCUACAGCCCCCAGCAUGAGUGACACAGAAGAUGGAUGAUUUCCGCAUUUCCAACCGAGAUACCAGGUUCAUCUCACUGGGGCUUGUCGGACACUGGGUGCAGGACAGUGGGUGCAGCCCAUCGAGCGUGAGCUGAAGCAGGGCAAGGCAUUGCCUCACACGGGAAGUGCAAGAUGUCAGGGAAUUCCCUUUCCUAGCCAAGGGAAGCUGUGACAAGUGGGACCUGGAAAAUAGGGUCACUCCCACCCUAAUACUGCACUUUUCCAACAGUCU
rnacentral:lncRNA from 10 species